UACGUAGGGCGCAAGCGUUAUCCGGAAUUAUUGGGCGUAAAGCGCUCGUAGGCGGUUUGUCGCGUCUGCCGUGAAAGUCCGGGGCUCAACUCCGGAUCUGCGGUGGGUACGGGCAGACUAGAGUGAUGUAGGGGAGACUGGAAUUCCUGGUGUAGCGGUGAAAUGCGCAGAUAUCAGGAGGAACACCGAUGGCGAAGGCAGGUCUCUGGGCAUGAACUGACGCUGAGGAGCGAAAGCAUGGGGAGCGAACAGG
rnacentral:rRNA from 1 species